UGCAAGUCGAACGCCGUAGCAAUACGGAGUGGCAGACGGGUGAGUAACACGUGGGAACGUGCCCAAAGGUACGGAACAACUCCGGGAAACUGGAGCUAAUACCGUAUGUGCCCGAGAGGGGAAAGAUUUAUCGCCUUUGGAUCGGCCCGCGUCUGAUUAGCUAGUUGGCGGGGUAAUGGCCCACCAAGGCGACGAUCAGUAGCUGGUCUGAGAGGAUGACCAGCCACACUGGGACUGAGACACGGCCCAGACUCCUACGGGAGGCAGCAGUAGGGAAUAUUGGACAAUGGGCGAAAGCCUGAUCCAGCCAUGCCGCGUGAGUGAUGAAGGCCUUAGGGUUGUAAAGCUCUUUCGCCAGGGACGAUAAUGACGGUACCUGGAUAAGAAGCCCCGGCUAACUUCGUGCCAGCAGCCGCGGUAAUACGAAGGGGGCUAGCGUUGUUCGGAAUUACUGGGCGUAAAGCGUAUGCAGGCGGAUCGUUAAGUCAGGGGUGAAAUCCCGAGGCUCAACCUCGGAACUGCCUUUGAUACUGACGAUCUUGAGUCCGGGAGAGGUGAGUGGAACUGCGAGUGUAGAGGUGAAAUUCGUAGAUAUUCGCAAGAACACCAGUGGCGAAGGCGGCUCACUGGCCCGG
rnacentral:rRNA from 1 species